CUGUCGGGAACUGGUCCGGGCUGAUGAAGUGGACGUGCGUGUCUAUCCCGCCGGCGGUGACGAUUCGGCCCUCGCCGGAGAUCACCUCGGUGCUCGGGCCGAUCACGAUGGUGACGCCGUCCAUGAUGUUGGGGUUGCCGGCCUUGCCGAUCGCGAGGAUGCGCCCGUCGCGCAGCCCGAUGUCCGCCUUGUAGAUGCCGGUGUAGUCCAGGACGAUCACGCUCGUGAUCACAGUGUCGGCCACGGACAGGUCUCCCGGAGCGCCGUCCCGGACCG
rnacentral:sRNA from 1 species